rfam:Perkinsus marinus ATCC 50983 gcontig_1104296497960, whole genome shotgun sequence.
GUCAGUUUGGCCGAGUGGUCUAAGGCGCCAGACUCAAGUUCUGGUGGAGAAAUCCGCGUGGGUUCGAACCCUACAGCUGACA